GACGAACGCUGGCGGCGCGCCUAACACAUGCAAGUCGAACGGAGCUGCGAGAAGCUUGCUUUUCUUAGCUUAGUGGCGAACGGGUGAGUAACGCGUGAGUAACCUGCCCUGGAGUGGGGGACAACAGUUGGAAACGACUGCUAAUACCGCAUAAGCCCACGAUCCGGCAUCGGAUUGAGGGAAAAGGAUUUAUUCGCUUCAGGAUGGACUCGCGUCCAAUUAGCUAGUUGGUGAGGUAACGGCCCACCAAGGCGACGAUUGGUAGCCGGACUGGGGGGUUGACCGGCCGCAUUGGGACUGAGACCCGGCCCAGACUCCUACGGGAGGCAGCAGUGGGGGAUAUUGCACAAUGGGGGAAACCCUGAUGCAGCGACGCCGCGUGGAGGAAGAAGGUUUUCGGAUUGUAAACUCCUGUCGUUAGGGACGAUAAUGACGGUACCUAACAAGAAAGCACCGGCUAACUACGUG
rnacentral:rRNA from 1 species